UGAUGUCAUGGUCUGCCCCUGUCCAGGCCUAUGUCUUGGUUUGUCCCCUGCCUGUGUCCAUUUUUCCCUCACAUUGUUCUACUUCUUGCCUUUCUUUACCUG